rnacentral:rRNA from 1 species
ACGCACGCUGGCGGCAUGCCUAACACAUGCAAGUCGAACGAGACCUUCGGGUCUAGUGGCGCACGGGUGCGUAACGCGUGGGAAUCUACCCUCAGGUUCGGAAUAACUCAGAGAAAUUUGAGCUAAUACCGGAUGAUGACGUAAGUCCAAAGAUUUAUCGCCUGAGGAUGAGCCCGCUUAGGAUUAGGUAGUUGGUGAGGUAAAGGCUCACCAAGCCGACGAUCCUUAGCUGGUCUGAGAGGAUGAUCAGCCACACUGGGACUGAGACACGGCCCAGACUCCUACGGGAGGCAGCAGUGGGGAAUAUUGGACAAUGGGCGAAAGCCUGAUCCAGCAAUGCCGCGUGAGUGAUGAAGGCCUUAGGGUUGUAAAGCUCUUUUACCCGGGAUGAUAAUGACAGUACCGGGAGAAUAAGCGCCGGCUAACUCCGUG